UUAUAUUUGACCCAAAACAAAUAAAAAGUUUAAGCUCUGAGAUGUGUUUAGGGUUUAGAGGAUUGGUGGAAACUUGCAUCCUACCUUGUGAGUGUCUGUCGUGUGUGCGCCGACACACAUUGAUUCACAGCUGACCUACAAUGAUCUGCUAUUUUUCCCAGUUCCAUGUAAGACUAAGACAGUCACUGUUCCCGUGCAGUUAAUUGAUUUUUUUUUUGAAUCAAGUGUUGUACUACUUGUAUUCAGGACACAAGACCUAUUAUAUGAUGGAGUUCUAUAUGUAAGAAUAGAGGCAGAAAAUAAAUAUACAGGGUUUUUUAUGAUCAA